rnacentral:rRNA from 1 species
AGAGUUUGAUCCUGGCUCAGAUUGAACGCUGGCGGCACGCCUAACACAUGCAAGUCGAGCGGUAACAGGGCUAGUAGCAAUACUAGCCGCUGACGAGCGGCGGACGGGUGAGGAACACGUAGGAACCUACCCUCAAGCGGGGGACAACCAAGGGAAACUUUGGCUAAUACCGCAUACACUCGAGAGAGAAAAGCUGCCGC